rnacentral:rRNA from 1 species
AUGCUCAUCGUGAAGGUGUUCAACGCGACUAUGUGUCGCAUGCGCUACGCUGAAGAUUAUGAUGCCAGUACGUUCUGCCUCUUCUUAUUCCUCUACAUUUGGCUUUGUCUCACAUCGAUUGUUAACGGUCAUUGUUGCAUUUGGACAGGUAAUGGGAGCAGCAGCAGCGACAAUGGCUACAGCCAAAGCAGCAGCGGCUAUGGCUGUAGCGAAAGCAGCAGCGAUUCUGGUUGUAGCGGAAGCAGCAGCGAUUCUGGCAGCAGCAUAGACAACAAGAAGGAUGAUCCGGACUGGAGUGCGGGAGAAGAGGAGCAGAGUGGGGAUGAGGAGCUGCAGGAUGACGAUGGGCAUUAG